GAUGAACGCUAGCGGCAGGCCUAACGCAUGCAAGUCGAGGGGCAGCACAGAAACAGCAAUGUUUUGGUGGCGACCGGCGGACGGGUGCGUAACGCGUAUGCAACCUACCUUUAACAGGGGGAUAACGGAGAGAAAUUUCCACUAAUACCCCAUAACAUCGAUCAAGGCAUCUUGAUUGGUUGAAAACUCCGGUGGUUAAAGAUGGGGAUGCGUUGUAUUAGGUAGUUGGUGAGGUAAUGGCUCAACAAGCCUACGAUACAUAGGGGGACUGAGAGGUUAGCCCCCCACACUGGUACUGAGACACGGACCAGACUCCUACGGGCGGCAGCAGUGAGGAAUAUUGGUCAAUGGGGGCAACCCUGAACCAGCCAUGCCGCGUGCAGGAAGACGGCUCUAUGAGUUGUAAACUGCUUUUAAACAGGGAUAAAGCACAGUAUGUAUACUGUGUUGAAGGUACUGUAAGAAUAAGGAUCGGCUAACUCCGUGCCAGCCGCCGCAGUAA
rnacentral:rRNA from 1 species